rnacentral:lncRNA from 1 species
AGACUACCAAUUCCUGGUUAAGGGGACGACUCUUUACCACUGACAGGGGAAGAAAAAGCUGCGCCUGAACCUUCACCAAUGCCCUAGAAGUAUCCAGGGAUAGCAACAAUUAUUAGUAAGCAAAUUGAAAGAGGAAAACAGGAAGAAAAUACCUCUAUACCUGAGUUUGACCCCGAGAAGAAGGAGGUUCAUCGAUGGUAACCGUCGGGCAAGCAAACACCUGCAAUACCGCUACCCCUGAGGUUCAUCACAUAUUGCCACUGACGGUUGGGGUGCUUUAUAUAAUGAAGAAGGCUGCAAGAAAUAUGAAUAGAAGUUAAUAUGAAAACAAUGCACAGAAAGUCAAUGUAAGGAUAGUUACUCACCAAAUUACUGUCCUUAUCCACAAAGUGCAACAUAACUCCGGUGGAUGGAUCAAAUUGAGAAGAUGGAGUUGCCUCCAAGGCAGAAUGAGAAAUCAAAGACUUCAAAGGAAAACCUUGACUAGGCAAAGAGGCAGAUACCCCGACCUGGAGGAAGAUAGAAGAAGAGAAAGGUUCAGGCAUUAGCUCCAGAGACUACAAAAUUGCCC